rnacentral:rRNA from 1 species
GAUGGACGCUGGCGGCGUGCCUAAUACAUGCAAGUCGAACGAAACUUCUUUAUCACCGAGUGCUUGCACUCACCGAUAAAGAGUUGAGUGGCGAACGGGUGAGUAACACGUGGGCAACCUGCCCAAAAGAGGGGGAUAACACUUGGAAACAGGUGCUAAUACCGCAUAACCAUAGUUACCGCAUGGUACCUAUGUAAAAGGUGGCUAUACUACCGCUUUUGGAUGGGCCCGCGGCGCAUUAGCUAGUUGGUAGGGUAAAGGCUUACCAAGGCAAUGAUGCGUAGCCGAAUUGAGAGGUUGAUCGGCCACAUUGGGACUGAGACACGGCCCAAACUCCUACGGGAGGCAGCAGUAGGGAAUCUUCCACAAUGGGCGAAAGCCUGAUGGAGCAACGCCGCGUGGGUGAAGAAGGUCUUCGGAUCGUAAAACCCUGUUGUUAGAGAAGAAAGUGCGUGAGAGUAACUGUUCACGUUUCGACGGUAUCUAACCAGAAAGCCACGGCUAACUACGUG